GAAAAGGUAAAUGUGGCAAGUUAAUGUGGGAGUAUUGUGUGCUAUAUGGUACAAAAUCAUAUUUGAGAAUUUUGUUAACCUGCAAUUAAUAAAAGAGUAUGUUUGAUUUUCAAUAAUUUGAUGAUUUGUAGCUGCAAGAAAAAAGUCAUUUUGUUGUUUCAUGAUAACAGUGACUGGAUCUGGUCCAUACACAUUUUUUUUCCCAAAAUAGAAAGUUAGUAAAUAAUCUAUUCAAAUGAAUGGAGUAGAUUGUUUACUAGUUCUGUGCGCAUAACUAAUGCAAAUGGAGAUGAAUAUUGUAAAAACAAUAUAGAACUCAAUUUUACAUUAAAGCUUGAAGAAAUGAGCAACAACUGUUGGUUGGCCUACGAGCUUUGUACUUGUACAUCAAUAUCUUUGAGUCUUUAUUGUGCAUGAUGAAACUUCAAUGCAGAACGUGAUAUUGAAGUAAAAAAAAUCCGGUCCUGGGCCUCCUGGCAAACUUUUCCCUGCAUUUUCUUGAUUUUCUGAGAUGCUCCUAGACAUAAUUCUGAAGUCAUGGAAAAACAGAAGUAGGAUGUCUUGCAUGGUUGUUUUACUCCAACUUUCUGCUUCUUUCAGGU
rnacentral:misc_RNA from 1 species